rnacentral:lncRNA from 12 species
AUGAAGUGUCGGGAGGUGAGGAUCAUUGGGAGCCAUUUACAAACAGGAGCAUCUCCUAGACCUGCCUCACAGGAGAGACAGGGCAUCCCAAGAGAUAUUCAAUGCAGAAUGCAGCUUAGCACAAUGCUGGAGAGACAACAGUCAAUCAAUAUCCACAUAGCUCACAUAUCUGGAUGGACCAUGAACUCGCUUCUGCUGCUGCUAAGGUGUGUCUUAGCUUGGACUAAUCAGCACAUGGUGGGCAUGUGAUACAAAUGAUCCAAUAAGAGCUAAUCUUGGGACCCCAGCUUAUCAUGCUCAGACUGAACAUCCUCUCACUUAUGGAGAGAGCGGUAUUUGGUGUGACGGCUGGAAUGCUACAGCCAUUUUGGCACUAUACGGGGGAGUAGCUGAACCCUCAUGGCCAACCCCUAGAGAAAGCCAAAGCCAAAGACACCUCAGCAAAAAUGGAACAGGAGCUUCUGGCUAAGCCAAUCCUGAAAAUAGUCCUGCACGUGAAUGCAAGUCAGAAACACCACUAUACAUCAUUCUUUUGAAAGCCGGAGUGAAUAAUUUCUAAAUUUAUCUUGCCAUCCAAAAUUGUCUAUUCAAAGAAUAAUGUCCAAAGAAGUGGUGUGUCACAAUUCACACAUCUAAAACGUGGGGUGUGCUACAGCCAAUUAUAAAGGCGGGAGAACAUGAGAACUCUACCUUGGUCUGGAAAGUCUGGUUAGCAUUAAUAUGCAGUUUGGAAUACGAGUUCAAUCGCCACCAAUUACUUCUUGGGACUCAGACUCUGUGCCCAUCAAGGCUUAGGACAGCUGGAAGGAAACAUCCAGGAUGUUGGAGUGAAUUAGCUACUCCCUGAAGUUCCCAUAAAGGCUACGAGCAAGAGAUAAGGUUAUCCAUUAUGCCUUUGAAAUAGAAUUCAAAAUAUCCUGAAAAAAAAAAAAAGCCAAAUUUUCUAUCUACCCCUAAGCUAUAGUUUAUGCAAGAAUCAUCCUUAUCUCCUCUCUUCUGCAUAUGCUCUGCAGCCAAGGUCAAACAUAUCUAGAAUCUGAGCAGCAAUCAUCACCUUCUCCACCCAAGCCUGGUCCUAGCCUCCAGCAUAUCUUACCUAGGUUACCGCAGUCACCUCCCUAACAGGUGUCCCUAUAUUGACCUGUCACCCUACGGUCUAUUGUUAACUCAACAGAAUUAAUUCAGGUUAGUUCUUUUAAAAUUUACAUCCAUUUACAUCUUUUAAAAUUUACAAUAUAGGUCCCUAUAUUGACCUGUCACCCUAUGGUCUAUUGUUAACUCAACAGAAUUAAUUCAGGUUAGUUCUUUUAAAAUUUACAUCCAGAUUCUCUUUUUGAAUUUCUCGAAUUGUUUCCCAUCUCACUCGAAGUAACAGUUACGUGUCUUACAACGGCCUAGGAAGCCCUACUUCUCAUGAGAUCCUGACACAUUUCUGGUCUAAUCUGUAGCUGCUUAUUUUAUUCAUUCUAUUCCAGCAAUAAUAUCCCCCAUGCUAUUCUGUAAGCAUAUUGACUAAAUGCUUAGCCCACCAUGUGCAUCUGAGCUUGGGGUCCUUGUAUCUCACGUGCCUUUUCCCAGAUAUCUGCAUGACUCCCCAGUGGGACCUGCCUAGUAAACUGUGCCUUCCCAGGUGUGUUUGGAGGGUUAUUUGGGAUACGCAUCAGUAAAUUCCUUAUAGUGGCAUCCAUAAAUAUUUAUAAUUAUGGGGUCAAGCUAUGGUCAAAAGCUACAAAGGUGUCUACUAAAGACGGGAACAGACAGUAUUAAUCUGUUGCUCCAGAGCAUUUUACAAUAUGCUCAUCUGAAAUACGAAGCAAUAUUUCAGGCACACAAAAUAUACACAGUUCUGUAUCAAAGCCCCACUAGCGUUACAAAGUGAGUUGGGAAGUUUUCAUCCCUGUUAUAUUUUUGAAAGCAUUCACAAAAGCUAAGGGUAUUCUUUUUUUUUUUUUUUUUUCCUGAAACUUCACUGAGAUUCAAUCUGUAAAACUCUCUGGGCAUGGUGCUUUUUAGAAAGGAUAGAGAACCUUUCUGACUGCUGAUUCAACACAAUGCGCUCCUGGUCACAUUACCAGGGUGACCAGGCACUUCUAUUUUUAGAACACCACAAGGAGUAAAGAGAGAAAGAGAUUCUUUGGGGCUGAAAGAAGUCCUAGGCUACACCUCCUUGAACAAUACCACAUUUUCAAGAUAGUGUGUGACAUGCGGCAGUUAACUGUGGGGCACGUGUACUGGAGUUCCAAACUUGGUCUUAACACUUUAUUUAACCUUGGGGAUAGCUUUUGAAUAGCACCUGUCCGUCCUAGUGAAGUCAGUAAUCUAGGUGAGAGUUUUCUCAGGGGAAAAAAUGGAUAUAUGAAUAAAACCACACUUGUCGGUCUACA